AUACUUGAGCAUAACCCUUAUGCACAAGUUUUAAAGAGUCUUGGGUCUGUUCCAAAUCUAGAUGAGUAUAGGAUCUCACUAAACACGGAUAUCAACUUGGAUCAACGAAGGUACAAUGCCCCAACGACUUCUCAAGUGGCAGCGAUAUGGGUUGAAGGGAGCGACCCAAAGAAUUGCUUUGAUAGAAGUGUUGUCGGUCUUGUUGACACUGUCGUUGUCGGCGAGUCACGCUGUGAUCGGAUUGGCAAGAGAAUCGUGCUCCCACGUACAUUUCCGGGUGGUGACCAUGACAUGCAACGGAGGUUUCUAGAUGCAAUGGCAAUAGUCCAGCGGUGGGGUAAACCGGAUUAUUUUAUCACAAUGACUUGCAAUCCUUAUUGGGAGGAGAUAACUGAGAAAUUGUUGCCUAGACAACUGCCACAAGACCGUCCAGACCUGGUGGCAAGAGUAUACAAAGCUAAACAACGAGAUAUGAUGGACUUACUGACUAGAGGUAAGCAUUUCGGAGAAGUUGCGGCUUAUGUACAUGUCACGGAGUUUCAGAAACAAGGUCUCCCGCAUGAGCAUAUACUUCUAAUCAUGAAAGCAAAAAGAAAGUUAGCGACCCCGGAUGCCUAUGAUCGGGUGAUAUCUGCAGAGAUACCUGACAAAGAAAAAUACCCCAUUCUACAU
rnacentral:rRNA from 1 species